rnacentral:lncRNA from 1 species
AACUACAAUUUUUCAGCAAUUGGUUGUUGAUGUCAUGCAUGACAUCAACAAUUUGAAGACUCCUUGAUGAUGUAAAGUGGAUGUCACAUUGACUAAAUAUCUUCUUCAUCAUUCGUGUCAGAUUUUGUAGUUGAAAAUUGAUUAUUGGGAAUUCCAUCUUUGAUUUGUUUGAGAAUUUUCUCCAUUUAUUGAAUGAAAUCUCCUCAUCUACUUGACUUAGCCAAUUGUGCGGCUGUAAUUGACUUUUUUUGCUGAGAUGAUAUUUGGAUGGUAUCUAUUGGUGUCAAAUAUUCAGGAUUUGCGCAGAAACCACUUUUCUACUUCCGGUACGUAAGCUUCCGUUGGAUUCCAAUUAUUGUACCAUUUGUAAUAGCCCUGGAGGGCUAACCAUGGAUGUCCUUUGUACCCUUCUGGUUUAUGAAAGGCAAAUUUCCAUGAAAAUAUAUGGAACCU